rnacentral:lncRNA from 13 species
AGGGGAAUAAUAAUAGGAAAACUCUUCUGUGCGAAAGCAGACGGUAAUUAUGGGCCGCCACUGUUGAUUGACAGCCGGGCUCUUUCAAUCGCCACACUUUGGAGUGAUUGAAACACUCAGUUCAUUAAGAAAAAGGGCCUCGAUUAAGCUAAUUGUAAUUGAGAGGCAGCUGGGUACCGUUCCAAACAAUGUCUUAUUGCGCAAAUAACUUUUACACCCCUUUAACAGCUUUUUCUCUUGUGCUCCUUCCUGAUAUACAUUUUUUUCAUUGUCAAUCUGUCUAUUAACUCGGGAAGCAAGUGCAGCCCAAAUAACAAAAUGAUGUAUUAUUCAAGAUAAGACAUGCGAACACUAUUUGGAUACUCCAUCUGUAGAUGCUCUACAGACUAUCAGUAACAUUUCAACUAACUGUGUAAAGUUAAACUUAGCCCUUACCCUAACCCUAAUCCUAACCCUUAUCCUAAACCUAACCCUAACUGUAACCUUAGCAAGCAGUUGCUCAUCAACAGAUAGUUUGUUGGCAGUAUGACCAUCUGUGGAGCAUCUACAGAUUGAACAUCCAGACUAUGCAAACAAAGUGGGACUGACUAGAUAUUUUUUAUUGUGCGAAUAAUUAAUGAGGGGAGGGAUGUUAAUCUUGUGAAAUGUUGUCCUACAGCUUUCUAGAUAAAGCGUUUGAUUCCAAAUUAGAAGAACAUAUUUGAUCCCUUAUUAGACUUGUCUAUUGUUGAAUGACAAUAUUAUAUUUUCUUCCUUUGUUUGACCUCAGUAAGACUUGUGCUCUGUGGUUGCUCCUGAGUAUAGUAACAGCAACGUCUGAUGUUGGACUCACAAAUUCAAUUAGCAUAGAAAACCACACCCUCUAAUAGUGGUGAAGCACGUUGUGUUGCAUGACACCUGCUAACAGUAAUGAUAAACUUGUAUGACUAAUUUGCAUCUAAAUAUAUGUUGUCUCUUUGGUGGCUGUACUGAAGCUGAUGUAUCUAUCUAUGGUGGUUGUACUAAAACUAAUGUCUCUAUGGUGAUUGUACUAAAACUAAUCCCUCUAUGGUGGUGUACUAAAACUAAUCCCUCUAUGGUGGUUGUACUUAAGCUGAUGUCUCUAUGGUGAUUGUACUAAAACUAAUCCCUCUAUGGUGGUUGUACUAAAACUAAUCCCUCUAUGGUGGUUGUACUUAAGCUGAUGUCUCUAUGGUGGUUGUACUAAAACUAAUGUCUCUAUGGUGGUUGUACUGAAGCUGAUGUCUCUAUGGUGGUUGUACUAAAACUAAUGUCUCUAUNNNNNNNNNNACUAAUCCCUCUAUGGUGGUUGUACUUAAGCUGAUGUCUCUAUGGUGGUUGUACUAAAACUAAUGUCUCUAUGGUGGUUGUACUGAAGCUGAUGUCUCUAUGGUGGUUGUACUAAAACUAAUGUCUCUAUGGUGAUUGUACUAAAACUGAUGUCUCUAUGGUGGUUGUACUAAAACUAAUGUCUCUAUGGUGGUUGUACUGAAGCUGAUGUCUCUAUGGUGGUUG